UGAGGAAUAUUGGGCAAUGGACGCAAGUCUGACCCAGCCAUGCCGCGUGCAGGAUGACGGCGCUAUGCGUUGUAAACUGCUUUUAUACAGGAAGAAAUCCUCCUACGUG
rnacentral:rRNA from 1 species